AAUUUCGGGUAAUUGCGGUCUCCUUUAUGGAGGCUGAGGAAAGUCCAUGCUCGCACAAGCUGAGAUGCUUGUAGUGUUCGUGCUUAGCGAAACAAUAAGCUAAGGCAAUCGAUAGAUUGACGGCAGAAAAAAAGGCUAAGGGCUCUACCUAUGCCUGAGUAUUCUUGAAAGUGCCACAGUGACGAAGCAGACGGGGAAACCUUUCUGGUGGAACGCGGUAAACCCCUCGAGCGAGCAACCCAAACUUUGGUAGGGGCACUCUUUCCAAGGAAAUGAACGAGGGAAAGAGGCAGAAAUGCAGAUAGAUAAUUACCUCCGCCAUCAGAGGCCUGGCUCCGAUGGCGCGACAGAACAUGGCUUACAGAA
rfam:Trichococcus sp. R210 isolate Trichococcus_R210 genome assembly, contig: TR210DRAFT_scaffold-10